rnacentral:tRNA from 1 species
AGGGGUGUAGCUCAAAUGGCAGAGCGUCGGUCUCCAAAACCGAAGGUUGCGGGUUCAAUUCCUGCCACCCCUG